AAGGUUUUAAGUUAAAAAAACUAGUAGCCUUCAAAGUUUCCUAUAAGAGUUUUCCAAUCUCUUAAACCUUA
rnacentral:tRNA from 1 species